AUUGAACGCUGGCGGCAGGCCUAACACAUGCAAGUCGGGUGGCUGAAGUGAGCUACCUCCUGGAUUCAGCGGCGGACGGGAGAGUAAUGCCUAAGAAUCUUCCUGGUAGUGGGGAAUAACAUCCGUCAACGCGCGCUAAUACCUCAUACGUCCUGAGUGAGAAAGUGGGGGAUAUUCGGACCUCACGCUAUCAGAUGAGCCUAGGUCGCGUUAGCUAGUUGGUGGGGUAAAGGCCUACCAAGGCGACGAUCCUUAACUGGUCUGAGAGGAUGAUCAGUCACACUGGAACUGAGACACGGUCCAGACCACUACGGGAGGCAGCAGUCGGGAACUGUGGACCAUGGGCGCAAGCCUGAUCCAGCCAUGCCGCGUGUGUGAAGAAGGUCUUCGGAUUGUAAAGCACUUUAAGUUGGGAGGAAGGGCAGUAAGUUAAUACCUUGCUGUUUUGACGUUACCAGCAGAAUAAGCACCGGCUAACUUCGUG
rnacentral:rRNA from 1 species